rnacentral:lncRNA from 1 species
AUACAUGAUAUGUGGAAAGAGUUUUUAACUGUGUUGCUAUAUUGAGUUGAUUUUAGAUAUUCUAGUCAUAUGGUCGAAUGAUAAAGUUUGGUGAGUAACCAUAACCUUAGUUCCAUUGGGACAGUAUAUGUUGGAAAGAAAUAAUCACAUGAUAACUGUAAGCGAAAAGAUUUAUUUUUUAUUAUUAUUCUGGAUUGUCGUGAUAUACUGUUAGGUGUCACUCACACGGUGAGAGAAUAUGAAUGAUUUGAAUUAAAUUAUUCUUAUUUAUUAAUUAGAAGAGUUCUAAUUAAAUUUCAAAAAGUUUGAUGUUGGG